AGUAAAACUUAAUUUGUGAAACAAAUUACAGAAACUGUCACAGAAAGUGGACCAGCAGCAACAACCCCCUCAUUCUCCUCCGAUGCAGACUUGAGACAAGAUAAAAUCGAGAUUUGCUUGUUCUUCCUUGAAGGCAACUGUAUCCACCCCAUAAAAAAAUGUUUCGGAGCUCAUUGCAGGCUGCCUUACAGCUGGGAAGUUCUGGAGGGCCAUCAGUGGACGCUGCUGGAUAGCUCAGAGAAGAUAGAAGAGGAUUACUGUGACCCC